AGAGUUUGAUCCUGGCUCAGAACGAACGCUGGCGGCAUGCCUAACACAUGCAAGUCGAACGAGACCUUCGGGUCUAGUGGCGCACGGGUGCGUAACGCGUGGGAAUCUGCCCUUGGGUUCGGGAUAACAGUUGGAAACGACUGCUAAUACCGGAUGAUGACUUCGGUCCAAAGAUUUAUCGCCCAGGGAUGAGCCCGCGUAGGAUUAGCUUGUUGGUGAGGUAAGAGCUCACCAAGGCGACGAUCCUUAGCUGGUCUGAGAGGAUGAUCAGCCACACUGGGACUGAGACACGGCCCAGACUCCUACGGGAGGCAGCAGUGGGGAAUAUUGGACAAUGGGCGAAAGCCUGAUCCAGCAAUGCCGCGUGAGUGAUGAAGGCCUUAGGGUUGUAAAGCUCUUUUACCCGGGAUGAUAAUGACAGUACCGGGAGAAUAAGCCCCGGCUAACUCCGUGCCAGCAGCCGCGGUAAUACGGAGGGGGCUAGCGUUGUUCGGAAUUACUGGGCGUAAAGCGCGCGUAGGCGGCUUUGUAAGUUAGAGGUGAAAGCCCGGGGCUCAACUCUGGAACUGCCUUUGAUACUGGGUACCUAGAGUCCGGAAGAGGUGAGUGGAAUUGCGAGUGUACAGGUGAAAUUCGUAGAUAUUUCGCAGGAACCCCAGUGGCGAAGGCGGCUCACUGGUCCGGUACUAGACACUGAGGUGCGAAAGCGUG
rnacentral:rRNA from 1 species